GACGAACGCUGGCGGCGUGCUUAACACAUGCAAGUCGAACGAGUGGCGAACGGGUGAGUAAAACGUGGGUGACCUGCCCUGCACUUCGGGAUAAGCCUGGGAAAAUGGGUCUAAUACAGGAUAGUGUGGGAUGGGCUCGCGGCCCAUACGCUUGUUGGUUGGGUAAUGGCUACCAAGGCGCGACGGGUAGCCGGCCUGAGAGGGUGGACGGCCACAUUGUGACUGAGAACCGGCCCAGACUCCUACGGGAGGCAGCAGUGGGGAAUCUUGCACAAUGGGCGCAAGCCUGAUGCAGCCAUGCCGCGUGAAUGAAGAAGGCCUUAGGGUUGUAAAGUACUUUCAUCGGGGAGGCGUUACCCGCAGAAGAAGCACCGGCUAACUCCGUGCCAGCAGCCGCGGUAAUAC
rnacentral:rRNA from 1 species